rnacentral:rRNA from 1 species
GUUAUCGAUGGGGAUGCGUUCCAUUAGUUAGUUGGCGGGGUAACGGCCCACCAAGACGACGAUGGAUAGGGGUUCUGAGAGGAAGGUCCCCCACAUUGGAACUGAGACACGGUCCAAACUCCUACGGGAGGCAGCAGUGAGGAAUAUUGGUCAAUGGACGAGAGUCUGAACCAGCCAAGUAGCGUGAAGGAUGACUGCCCCAUGGGUUGUAAACUUCUUUUAUAUGGGAAUAAAACAGGGUAUGCAUACCCUCUUGUAUGUACCAUAUGAAUAAGGAUCGGCUAACUCCGUGCCAGCAGCCGCGGUAAUACGGAGGAUCCGAGCGUUAUCCGGAUUUAUUGGGUUUAAAGGGAGCGUAGGUGGAUUGUUAAGUCAGUUGUGAAAGUUUGCGGCUCAACCGUAAAAUUGCAGUUGAAACUGGCAGUCUUGAGUACAGUAGAGGUGGGCGGAAUUCGUGGUGUAGCGGUGAAAUGCUUAGAUAUCACGAAGAACUCCGAUUGCGAAGGCAGCUCACUGGACUGCAACUGACACUGAUGCUCGAAAGUGUGGGUAUCAAACAGGAUUAGAUACCCUGGUAGUCCACACAGUAAACGAUGAAUACUCGCUGUUUGCGAUACACAGUAA